rnacentral:rRNA from 1 species
UAGGGAAUCUUCGGCAAUGGACGGAAGUCUGACCGAGCAACGCCGCGUGAGUGAAGAAGGUUUUCGGAUCGUAAAGCUCUGUUGUUAGAGAAGAACGUUGGUGGAGUGGAAAAUCUACCAAGUGACGGUAACUAACCAGAAAGGGACGGCUAACUACGUGCCAGCAGCCGCGGUAAUACGUAGGUCCCGAGCGUUGUCCGGAUUUAUUGGGCGUAAAGCGAGCGCAGGCGGUUCUUUAAGUCUGAAGUUAAAGGCAGUGGCUUAACCAUUGUACGCUUUGGAAACUGGAGGACUUGAGUGCAGAAGGGGAGAGUGGAAUUCCAUGUGUAGCGGUGAAAUGCGUAGAUAUAUGGAGGAACACCGGUGGCGAAAGCGGCUCUCUGGUCUGUAACUGACGCUGAGGCUCGAAAGCGUGGGGAGCAAACAGG